CCUACGGGGGGCAGCAGUGAGGAAUAUUGGUCAAUGGACGCAAGUCUGAACCAGCCCAGUAGCGUGCAGGAUGACGGCCCUCCGGGUUGUAAACUGCUUUUAGUUGGGAAUAAAAGGGGGCUCGUGAGCCCCGUAUUGUAUGUACCAUCAGAAAAAGGACCGGCUAAUUCCGUGCCAGCAGCCGCGGUAAUACGGAAGGUCCGGGCGUUAUCCGGAUUUAUUUGGUUUAAAGGGAGCGUAGGCCGGCUUUUAAGUCAGCUGUGAAAGUCCGCGGCUCAACCGUGGAAUUGCAGUUGAAACGGGAGGCCUUUAGUGCACACAGGGAGGCCGGAAUUCAAGGUGUAGCGGUGAAAGGCGUAGAGAUCAUGAAGAACACCGAUCGCGAAGGCAAGGGUCCGGGGUGCAACUGACGCUGAGGCUCGAAAGUGCGGGUAUCAAACAGGAUGAGAUACCCCAGUAGUC
rnacentral:rRNA from 1 species